GCUCCCGCUGCUGAAUAGCUGAGAGGCGCACCCGGGCGGCCAGCUGGGCUCGGAGUGCAGCGGGGUUAGGAUGGACGAGGACGUGUUGCACCCUGAAGAGCCUCAUCAUCGCCUGCUCUUGAGGUUCACAGAUGAUACCUUUGAUCCAGAACUUGCAGCAACAAUAGAGACAAGGUCUCACUUUGUCACCAGGUUGGAGUGCAGUAGUAUGAUCACAACUCACUGCAGACUCGAACUCCUGGGCUCAAGGGAUCCUCCCUCCUCAGCCUCCCAAGUGGCUGGGACUACAAGCACGCACCAACACACCUGGCUGAUUUAAAAAUUUUUGUACAAAUGGGAUCUCACUAUGUUGCCUAUGCUGGUCUUGAACACCUAGGCCCAACGAUCCUCCAGCCUCGCCUUCUAAAGUGUUGGGAUUCCAAGAGUGAGCCAUGGUGUCUGGCCUCAAAAAUCUUUAAUACCUUUAUAGAGUUGUGCAAUCAUCACCACAAUCCAGUUUUGAGACAUUUCCAUUACUCCAAAAAGAUCAUUCAUGCCAUUUGCAGUUAACCACCACUCCCAUCUCCAACCUCAGCUACUGUUGAUCUUGCUGUUUGCACAGAUUUGCCUUUAUGGGAAGUUUCAUAUAAAAAGAAUCAAACAAUAUGUGGCCUUUUGCAUCUGGCUUCUUUCACUUAAUGCUUUUGAGGCGUAUGCAUGUUGUAGUGAGUAUCAGGUGUACGUCAUGUAUACGCAGGAAUAUCUGUCCCUUUGCUGUCGGGGAGGACGCCAUCGCAUGGAGGUCCUGCAUUUUGUUUUUCUGUUUCUCAGUUGACGGUCAUGUGGAUUGUUUACAGGUCUGGGCUAUUAUGAAUAAUGCCACUAUGAACAUCUGUGUCCAGGUUUCUGAGUGGACACACACGGCUAAUUUUAUAAUAAAAAAAACAAAACCAAAGGACCAAAAUGAAUUCUGGAACUGUUUCUGGAAUACGUUUCCUUUUACCAAAAUGGGAAUUCUAAUAGCAGGGCAGGAAAUGUAAAGUAGGAGAGAAAGAAGUGGGCUCACAGCAGCCUUUCCCCUCCUCGGAUUUGGGAACAAAGAGGCAGGAUUGUCCCACUCUAGAAGUGGCUCAUAUUCGCACAGUUCAUCCAAAGCUACAGAACACGCUCAACAUCCCAUCUGCCCCGCGGCACCUCUGAUAUCGAUCUCAAUCCAAACACCCACCCCUCUCUUGAGUCUCUUAGUUCAAGGACAGCAAAUUCAGGACAUCGCACUUCCCUGCCCCUGAUGCAUUUAGUGAGAGCGGGGGUUUGAGUUUGGAUGACUGUGGAGAAAAGCCCCAAGCACCAGUGUCAAUUCCUGGGCUGAGACUUUAAGGUUUAGCAAUUCAAGUGUUUCAGCUAGGUCCCUUCCCAGUGUACAAAGGUCAAAGUUUGCAGUUAUGGAAGGAAAAGGAUCAGAAAAAACCAUGGAAAAUAGGAUCUGGUUCUAUAAGCAGGAAAGAGAUGCAGGAAACAAUUUAGAGGAAAAGAGGCAAAAAGUAUACUGGCUCUCCAAGCUGGGGUGUCUUAUUCACCAAGAAGUGGCGAGAAGCAGACAGACAGCACGUUUUGUCGGGGGACAGUGGUUUUUGUUUUUUUGUGUUUUUUUUGAGACAGAGUCUCACUGUAUUGCCCAGGCUGGAGUGUAGUGGUGCAAUCUCGGCUCACUGCAACAUCGGCCUCCCAGGCUCAAGCGAUUCUCAUGCCUCAGCCUCCCAAGUAGCUGGGAUUACAGGUGUGCGCCACCACACCCAGCUAAUUUUUGUAUUUUUAGUAGAGACAGGGUUUUGCCAUGUUGGUCAGGCUGGUCUCAAACUCCUGACCUCAAGUGAUCCACCUGCCUUGGCCUCCCAAAGUGCUGGGAUUACAGGCAUGAGCCACCGCACCUGGUUGCCAAUGUUUAAUACAAGUGGAUAGACACAGUUUUAAAGGACUUUGGGAAAAUCUGGUGUUAAUGAAUAUUAAUGAGGACAUCUGUCUUAUUUAUUCAUUACAGCGGCUCUCCACUGGUAGUUCCUGUAGCAACUCAAGCUCCUUCCUGGGUAUCUAAAGAUUCAGGUGAUAUCUGGAACCUGCUGCAGAGGUUGCAAUCCUGCCUCUUUCUGACCCUCAGGUUGCCCUAGUGACUCUAGGAACCUUUCUCCAUACCUCUUGCGUGUUAUCUAUGGAACAUGGACUUUGAACCUCUCUUCUUUUUCGUCUCCUUGCUUUGAUUUAAUCCAUCAUUUCUAGGUGCAUGACAACACUCCCUAACUUAACCCCCCUGCUUUCCCAUUUUAACUACCAUCACAAUAAUCUUAAUACUGGCAGGUAUCUAGCACUUGGCGAUUUUCAAAGAGCUUCCACUAGUUCCUUGCUCGGAAUCUUGUGAUGCAGGCAGGAUAGCUAGGAGUGUCUCCUUUUAAAGGAAAUCAAGGUAGAAAAGUUCAGUGAUGACCCAAUAUCAUAAAAAUCAUAAAAUGGUGAGACCAGGAGCAGGUUAUAGGUUUCUACCCUGGUGCGGUCCCAGGAUGGGGCCUGUAAGUCCUGAAGUUUCAGGCAAAUGUGCUGUGACUGGAUGUGUUAAAUUAGACUAACAGGGAGUGGGGAAGGGCUAUGACAAUUCAGAGUAGGUCUGUAGAAUAUGUUCACAAAACCAUGGAUUUAAGAACAUGGGAGCUUGUGAGGAGUUUUCUAACUCAUUUUUUAAGUUUUCUAGAUGUCUUAUCCAUAUAAUUUUUUUUUUUUUGAAAUGGAGUCCCACUCUUGUCACCCAGGCUGUAGUGCAAUGGCGCGAUCUUGGCUCACUGCAACCUCCGCCUCCCAGUUUCAAAUGAUUCUCCUUCUUCAGCCUCUUGAGUAGCUGGGAUUACAGGCAUGUGCCACCAUGCCUAAUUUUUGUAUUUUUAGUAGAGACUGGGUUUCAACAUGUUGGCCAGGCUGCUGUUGAACUCCUGGUCUCAGGUGAUCCGCCUGCCUCAGCCUCCCAGAGUGCCGGGAUUACAGGUGUGGGCCACCUCGCCUGGCCCAUACAAUUUUUUAAAGGGCAUUGAGAUCCUAAAAUUGAAAUUGUAGAUAGAUAUAGCUGUGGGAUAAAGAACUUCUGCUGAAUGAUGAUUUGCAAAAGUAUGUCUUCAUUAUAGUACUGAGUACUAAUUUUAUGGGGCAAAUAACUCUGUAUUUAAUCUUAUGACCUUGUAUAAAAUCUUGCCCUAAACUAAAUUCAAAUGUAUAGUCAUUUAUACUUAAUUACAAAAUUUGGUGCUA
rnacentral:lncRNA from 1 species